rnacentral:rRNA from 1 species
GCUUGCUUUUGAAGGUCAGCGGCGGACGGGUGAGUAACACGUGGGCAACCUGCCUGUAAGACUGGGAUAACUUCGGGAAACCGGAGCUAAUACCGGAUAAUAUAAGGAACCUCCUGGUUCUUUAUUGAAAGAUGGUUUCGGCUAUCACUUACAGAUGGGCCCGCGGCGCAUUAGCUAGUUGGUGAGGUAACGGCUCACCAAGGCGACGAUGCGUAGCCGACCUGAGAGGGUGAUCGGCCACACUGGGACUGAGACACGGCCCAGACUCCUACGGGAGGCAGCAGUAGGGAAUCUUCCACAAUGGACGAAAGUCUGAUGGAGCAACGCCGCGUGAGCGAUGAAGGCCUUCGGGUCGUAAAGCUCUGUUGUUAGGGAAGAACAAGUGCGAGAGUAACUGCUCGCACCUUGACGGUACCUAACCAGAAAGCCACGGCUAACUACGUGCCAGCAGCCGCGGUAAUACGUAGGUGGCAAGCGUUGUCCGGAAUUAUUGGGCGUAAAGCGCGCGCAGGUGGUCCUUUAAGUCUGAUGUGAAAGCCCACGGCUCAACCGUGGAGGGUCAUUGGAAACUGGGGGACUUGAGUGCAGAAGAGGAAAGUGGAAUUCCAGGUGUACG